AAAAUAUAUCUAAAACAUUUUAGAUAUAUUUACAAGGAGAAAAACUAUAUAAACAAGUUUACAUAAAUUGAAACAAAACAAGAUUGUACAUUGUCCGACUCUAAUUACAUAUUAGAAACCCUAAUCGAGGAUCUUAUUGCACACAUGUAAUUUUAUUUUUUAAAGAAUAGUGAGUGGAUAGUAAAAUUGUUAAUUAAAGUGUUGUUAAUGAUCA
rnacentral:lncRNA from 1 species